AACGAACGCUGGCGGCGUGCCUAACACAUGCAAGUCGAACGGGAUUAGGGGCUUGCUCCUAAUCUAGUGGCGCACGGGUGAGUAACGCGUAGAUAAUCUGCCUGAUGAUCCGGGAUAACACUUCGAAAGAGGUGCUAAUACCGGAUAAGCCCACGGGUUCUUUGGAAUCUGCGGGAAAAGGGGGGGACCUUCGGGCCUUCUGUCAUCAGAUGAGUCUGCGUACCAUUAGCUAGUUGGUAGGGUAAAGGCCUACCAAGGCGACGAUGGUUAGCUGGUCUGGGAGGAUGAUCAGCCACACUGGAACUGAGACACGGUCCAGACUCCUCCGGGAGGCAGCAGUGGGGAGUUUUGCGCAAGGGGCGAAAGCCUGACGCAGCAACGCAGCGUGAGUGAUGAAGGCUUUCGGGUCGUAAAGCUCUGUCAAUGGGAAAGAAUCCCACCUGGAAGAAUACUCCAGGUGUCUGACGGUACCCACAGAAAAAGUUCCGGCUAACUACGUGCCAGCAGCCGCCGCCGUAA
rnacentral:rRNA from 1 species